rnacentral:rRNA from 1 species
GAUAAACGCUGGCGGCGUGCCUAACACAUGCAAGUCGAACGAUCCCGCAAGGGAGAGUGGCGGAAGGGUGAGUAACACGUGGGAAUCUACCUCCUCGCAGGGAACAACCUCUCGAAAGAGAGGCUAAUACCCAAAAGGGUCAGAAAUGAUCAGAGUCGAAAGGCGUGAGGGGAGGAGCCCGCGGCCUAUCAGCUAGUUGGUGAGGUAAUGGCUUACCAAGGCUACGACGGGUAGGGGAUCUGAGAGGAUGUCCCCCACACUGGAACUGAAACACGGUCCAGACGCCUACGGGUGGCAGCAGUGAGGAAUAUUGGACAAUGGGCGAAAGCCCGAUCCAGCAACGCCGCGUGGAGGAUGAAGGCCUUCGGGUCGUAAACUUCUUUAGAGGAGACGAGAAAGGACGGUAUCCCUAGAAUAAGCGACGGCAAACUACGUGCCAGCAGCCGCGGUAAU